UUUUUAAAAGUAUAUUUUUGGUGUAAUUAAUCAAAAUUGUUGAUGACAGCAUUGACAUAAAAAUAGUACCCUCUAUUUUAUCACUAAAUGUCUUGAAAUGUCUUUUCUCUACACUGUCGAUCAAGAAACGUGCUGUGUUGAUAAAUGUUAAGGUUACUUUGCACUUUUGAAAUCAAUACUGACUAAUUCUAUAUGCAUAGGGAGAACAAUUUAACGACUGAUUUAAGUAGCGGUUACAGGAUGGGCAUGAACUUCAUGUACGCUAAUAGAAAUUAGUUUGUAGGUAAAAUGUUACAUAAUUAUAAUGAUAAAGAAGCUACGAUUUUUCAUUUGACAGACAAGAGAAAUUAUUAUACUACUCAAUAAGUCCCUGUUGCAGAUAUCAAAGUGAUCAGAAAAUCGAGAAAAAAAUCAUUUAAAUGUGUUUUUCUGACACUAUACGCACACAAAUUACCCCAAAAUCGGACUUAAAUACAUUUCAAUCUAAUCACAUACUAUUAGAUGUAAAUCGUGUUUAUUAUAAAUGUCCUGAAUCACAAAUUCUUCAAGCUUUCAUUUAUAAAACCUUAACAACCGAAAUUUCAAUUCGAAAUAAAAAAAAAAAAAAAAUAGCAGUGGCCGGUUGUACUGAAAAUUCGACAUUUUUUUUAAAAUGACACAUAUUAUAAAGUAAGCUACUAAGAAAUAUGAUUAGAUGUAGUACACAAUUCUAAACAUUUAAAACUUAGACAUGUAAUACUAGUGGUUAUUUUCAUGGCACGAUUUUGUCAGGGUAUUAUAAGUAGGUCAGUAAAUUCCAAUACCGACUAUAUUAACGUGUAAAACUUAGACUAGUCAACGACCUAUCAAAUGAGCAAGUCUGCAAUGCAGUUAGCUUUAACAUGAUUAAAAAAACUACUUCCUUUUGAUCCUACAAAAACAGA
rnacentral:lncRNA from 1 species